UACGUAGGGCGCAAGCGUUGUCCGGAAUUAUUGGGCGUAAAGGGCUCGUAGGCGGUCUGUCACGUCGGGAGUGAAAACUCAGGGCUUAACCCUGAGCUGCUCCGAAGUACGGGAGGCAGACUAGAGGUAUGCAGGGGAGAACGGAAUUCCUGGUGUAGCGGUGAAAUGCGCAGAUAUCAGGAGGAACACCGGUGGCGAAGGCGGUUCUCUGGGCAUUACCUGACGCUGAGGAGCGAAAGUGUGGGGAGCGAACAGG
rnacentral:rRNA from 1 species